GUUCGGAUUUGAAUGUUGACUCUUGAUGUUAUACCUCAGUUACAAACAGGCACUCACUCACUGUAUGUAUACUCUCUCACUGACCUCGGCAGCGCUAGACAAAACACGCCUUCCCUCCUCUCGAACUAUAGCCAGUGUGCGGGGCGUUCUCGAGCGCACUGAAGGGAAGAACAUUGCCACGAGCUCACCGUGCACUGCUGCUCUCGCGCUCACACUAGAAAACUAUGGAAACUUGCAACUUGAAGAAAGCGGUGCGUGCACUCCUGCGGGUCUGUCUGUCGAGUGCUUGCAUUCUGCACGCUUGUCUAGGUGGAAGUUUAUACGUCAGAGAUAUCUCAGACGAGGAAACAACUACAGACACGUACGGCGACUACAACAACACCAUUGAGUAUGAAUAUUAUGAUAAUUCUUCAUUUUAUGACUAUCAGGACUUCGUGGUGAUAGGCAUUGACUCAGCACACAGGCCUGUCUUGCCCUGGUAUCUACUAGGGAUCUGCGUGUUGGUUUUCCAGACUCUCUGCGCACUGUGAACCAGGUAUCCAAGCUGCUUCAGAGCAUCACUGAAACAAGCUAAAUAAAGUUACAGAAAUCAUUACGGGAUCAUUUUGGGAUGCAGGGAGAAUUUACUGCAGCUUUCACACACUGAACUGCGUCACUUUGUAAUAGUUUGAGUUCCAUGCAUAUGAGAGCAAUGCCACUUCAUGGGAAAUCUCAGGUAUUGCCACAGCAAGCCAUUCAAAUGAUUUUCUGUCAAACAGUGGAAACAUCUUCUUGGUCUCCUUGUUAAAACACGCAGUAAACGAUGAAGGAUCUUCAUGAAACUCUGCACACUCGCAGGGAUUCAGGUGAAUUCGGGAUGCAAUUUGAACUAUUUCAGGACCAAGCAUUUUUCAGUGGGAUGCUCCCCCAGGACCAGGCAUUUUUCAGUGGGAUGCUCCCCCAGGACCAGGCAUUUUUCAGUGGGAUGCUCCCCCAGGACCAGGCAUUUUUUGUUAUAAAAAUUUACUAAAAAAAAAAAUCCAUUUUUUACAGUAGCAUCUUGGAAAUGGUUUCCUUUUUUCAGAACACUCUGGGGAACAUUAUAAAGUACUUCAGGAACCAUACACACUUUUUGCUUUUUUCAUAUAUAUAUAUAUAUAUAUAUAUAUAUAUAUAUAUAUAUAUAUAUAUAUAUAUAUAUAUAUAUAUAUAGUGCCUAUAGAAAGUCUACACCCCCUUUCAACAAAAUGUUCACCAUUUGUUGCCUUAAAAUGCAUUAAUAUAUCUUUUUUCUUCAUUUAUCUACACAUCCUACCCCACAACUUCCAAGUGAAAAAAAUAUUCUGGAAAUUUGUAGAUAAUUAAUUAAAAAUAAAAACUGAAAUAGCUUGGUUCGAUAAGUGUUCAUCCCCCUUGUAAUAGCAAUCCUAAAUUAGCUCAGGUGUAACCAAUCGCCUUCAAAAUCACACACCAAGUUAAGUGGCCUCCACCUGUGUUAAAUUGUAGUGAUUCACAUGAAUUCAGGAUAAAUUCAGCAGUUCCUGUAGGUUCCCUCUGCUGGGUAGUGCACUUCAAAGCAAAGACUCAACCAUGAGCACCAAGGCACUUUCAAAAGAACUCCGGGACAAAGUUGUUGAAAGGCACAGAUCAGGGGAUGGGUAUAAAAAAUAUCAAAGGCCUUGAAUAUCCCUUGGAGCACGGUCAAGACGAUUAUUAAGAAGUGGAAGGUGUAUGGCACCACCAAGACCCUGCCUAGAUCAGACCGUCCCUCCAAACUGAAUGACCGAGCAAGAAGGAGACUGAUCAGAGAGGCUACCAAGAGGCCAGUGGCAACUUUGCAAGAGCUACAGGCUUUUAUGGCCAAGACUGGUCAAAGUGUGCAUGUGACAACAAUAUCCCAAGCACUCCACAAAUCUGGCCUGUAUGGUAGAGUGACAAGAAGGAAGCCAUUUACUCAAGAAAGCCCACUUUGAAUCCUGUUUGAAGUAUGCAAAAAAACACUCAGGAGAUUCUGUAGCCAUGUGGCAAAAAGUUUUGUGGUCUGACAAAACUAAAAUUGAACUUUUUGGCUUAAAUACAAAGCGUUAUGUUCGGCUCAAACCCAAAACAGCACAUCACCCAAAGAAAACCAUCCCUACUGUGAAACGUGGUGGUGGCUGCAUCAUGUUAUGGGGAUAUUUCUCAUCGGCAGGGACUGGGGCACUUGGAUAGAAGGGAAAAUGAAUGGAGCAAAGUACAGAGAAGUCCUUGAAGAAAACCUGCUGCCCUCUGCAAGAAAGCUGAAACUGGGACAGAAGUUCCCCUUUCAGCAUGACAACGACCCAAAGCACACAGCCAAAUCUACACUGGAGUGGCUAAGGAACAAAAAGGUAAAUGUCCCUGAGUGGCCCAGUCAGAGCCCCGACCUAAACUCAAUCGAAAAUUUGUGGCAUGAUUUGAAGAUUGCUGUCCAUCAGCGCUUCGACAGCGCUUGAACAGUUUUGUAAAGAAGAAUGGUCAAAUAUUGCCAAAUCUAGGUGUGCAAAGUUAGUAGAGACCUAUCCCAACAGACUCGCAACUGUAAUUGCUGCCAAAGGUGCUUCCACCAAGUAUUAACUCAGGGGGGUGGAGACUUAUCCAGUUAUGAUCUUUCAGUUUUGUAUUUUUAAUAUAUCAUUUUUUUCUCAAUAAAAGCUUGUUUCCUCUUAACAGUGUGGAGUAUGGUGUGUAGAUAAGUGGAAAAAAAUCCUCAUUUAAAUGCAUGAAACUCUGAGGCACUGACACAACAAAAUGUGAAAAAAGUUCAAGGGGGUGUAGACUUUCUAUAGGUACUGUGUAUAUACAUAUAUAUAUAUAUAUAUAUUUAUAUAUAUAUAUAUAUAUAUAUAUAUAUAUAUAUAUAUAUAUAUAUAUAGUGAAAGCUGUCUUACUGACAUCAAGGUAUGGAUGUCUAAUAAUUUCCUUAUGUUAUCCUUCUUAUCGCCUAUAAAGCCCUAAACGGUUUGGCCCUGGCCUGUUUGAAGGCUCUUUUGGUCCCGUAUGCCCCUGGCUGGCCCCCUGCUCCCAAGAUGCAGGGCUGCUAUCUGUCCCAAGGAUUUUAAAGCACAGGACAGGUGGUAGAGCAUUCAGUCACAGGGCACCUGAACUCUGGAAUGCUCUACCAUGCACAGUGAGAGACCCACCUACACUGGCAUUUUUUAAAAAGAAAUUAAAAACAUACUUUUAUAAUAGGGCUUUUAUAUCUUUAUAAUAUUUCUUUUUUUAUAUAUAGUUGUAUUCCUAUUUAUUCGGUUUGAGUUCCUUAUCUGUAGCUUUAAUUUGCUUGAAUUUUAAAAUGUUGUUUUCUCUUGCUGUUUUUAUUGUUUAUAUUGUUGUUAUUGUACUAAAUGUUCUUCUGAAUGUCUUUUCUUUUUGUUAAAAGCGCUUUGGGAUGGGUUGCCAUGAAAGGCACUUUAUAAAUAAAAUUUGAUCUAUAUAUAUAUAUAUAUAUAUAUAUACACUGAACAAACAUAUAAACGCAAAAUGUAAAGUGUUGGUCUCAUGUUUCAUGAGCUGAAAUAAAAGAUCCCAGAAAUGUUCCAUAUGCACAAAAAGCUUAUUUCUCUCAAAUUUUGUGCACAAAUUUGUUUACAUCCCUGUUAGUGAGCAUUUCUCCUUUGCCAAGAUAAUCCAUCCACCUGACAGGUGUGGCAUAUCAAGAAGCUGAUUAAACAGCAUGAUCAUUACACAGGUGCACCUUGUGCUGGGGACAAUAAAAGGCCACUAAAAAAUGUGCAGUUUUGUCACACAACACAAUGCCACAGAUGUCUCAAGUUUUGAGGGAGCGUGCAAUUGGCAUGCUGACUGCAGGAAUGCCCACCAGAGCUGUUGCCAGAGAAUUGAAUGUUCAUUUCUCUACCAUAAGACGCCUCCUACGUCGUUUUAGAGAAUUUGGCAGUACGUCAAACCGGCCUCACAACCGCAGACCACGUGUAACCACGCCAGCCCAGGACCUCCACAUCCGGCUUCUUCACCUGCGGGAUCGUCUGAGACCAGCCACUCAGACAGCUGAUGAAACUGUGGGUUUGCACAACCGAAGAAUUUCUGCACAAACUGUCAGAAACCGUCUCAGGGAAGCUCAUCUGCGUGCUCGUCGUCCUCACCAGGGUCUUGACCUGACUGCAGUUCAGCGUCGUAACCGACUUCAGUGGGCAAAUGCUCACCUUCGAUUGCCACUGGCAGGCUGGAGAAGUGUGCUCCUCACGGAUGAAUCCCAGUUUCAACUGUACCGGGCAGAUGGCAGACAGCGUGUAUGACGUCGUGUGGGCGAGCGGUUUGCUGAUGUCAACGUUGUGAACAGAGUGCCCCAUGGUGGCGGUGGGGUUAUGGUAUGGGCAGGCAUAAGCUACGGACAACAAACACAAUUGCAUUUUAUCGAUGGCAAUUUGAAUGCACACAGAUACCGUGAUGAAAUCCUGAGGCCCAUUGUCGUGCCAUUCAUCCACCGCCAUCACCUCAUGUUUCAGCAUGAUAAUGCACGGCCCCAUGUCGCAAGGAUCUGUACACAAUUCCAGGAAGCUGAAAAUGUCCCAGUUCUUCCAUGGCCUGCAUACUCACCAGACAUGUCACCCAUUGAGCAUGUUUGGGAUGCUCUGGAUCGACGUGUACGACAGCGUGUUCCAGUUCCUGCCAAUAUCCAGCAACUUCGCACAGCCAUGGAAGAGGAGUGGGACAACAUUCCACAGGCCACAAUCAACAGCCUGAUCAACUCUAUGCGAAGGAGAUGUGUCGCGCUGCAUGAGGCAAAUGGUGGUCACACCAGAUACUGACUGGUUUUCUGAUCCACGCCCCUACCUUUUUUUUUAAGGUAUCUGUGACCAACAGAUGCAUAUCUGUAUUCCCAGUCAUGUGAAAUCCAUUGAUUAGGGCCUAAUGAAUUUAUUUCAAUUGACUGAUUUCCUUAAAUGAACUGUAACUCAGUAAAAUCUUUGAAAUUGUUGCAUGUUGCGUUUAUA